rnacentral:piRNA from 2 species
UGGAUGGGAGACCGCCUGGGAAUACCGGGUGCUGUAGGCU